AGGGAUUUAGCUUAGCGGCUUAAGUGCCUGCCUGGUAAGCAUGAGGUCAUGAGUUUAAUCCUUG
rnacentral:tRNA from 1 species